CUACGGGGUGCUCCAGUGGGGAAUAUUGCACAAUGGGGGAAACCCUGAUGCAGCAACGCCGCGUGGAGGAUGACACAUUUCGGUGCGUAAACUCCUUUUAUAUAAGAAGAUAAUGACGGUAUUAUAUGAAUAAGCACCGGCUGACUCCGUGCCAGCAGCCGCGGUAAUACGGAGGGUGCAAGCGUUAUUCGGAAUCACUGGGCGUAAAGGGUGCGUAGGCGGUUUGGAAAGUCAGGUGUGAAAGCCCGGGGCUCAACUCCGGAACUGCACUUGAAACUUCCAGACUAGAAUACUGAAGGGGCAGAUGGAAUUAGUGGUGUAGGGGUAAAAUCCGUAGAUAUCACUAGGAAUACCGAAAGCGAAAGCGAUCUGCUGGGAAGUUAUUGACGCUGAGGCACGAAAGCGUGGGGAGCAAACAGGAUUAGAUACCCCAGUAGUC
rnacentral:rRNA from 1 species